UGCCAUGAUGGUGUAAUUUGCGUCUGACUCUGUGGACAGUGACGGUAGCCUGCCGUCAUUAAGCUGCCACAAGAGGUUGAUGUACAUGUUGUUCUGAGCA